rfam:Mycobacterium abscessus strain PAP053 genome assembly, contig: ERS075544SCcontig000036
AAGUGACGAAGCAGGAGCGAAAUAUUGUCCGUUCCGGUUUUUUAUAGGAAAACAAA